UUACUGUCAGUAAUAAGUGUUUUACUGCAUAACUUGCCAUCUAAGUGGGUCAACAGGCUCUGCAGACUCAGUAACAUCAGAAACAUGAAGCCUGAGUGCAAACCAGAAGUCUGACUUUACUAUAAGCAGCAGGUGUGUUUCUGUGUUUGAUGCAUUUUUAGUUAAAAUAUGUUUCUCCUUCAUUAGUGAAGUUACUACAGCCUGGUAGAGUAAUCAGAAACUGUACUCAGACAAGAACAGCUUUUCUUCAAAUUAAAAUGACUCAAGUAGAAGAAAAGUGUUAUAAAACUAUUGAAGUGUCUUUUUUAGCCCUUUGUUCCAGAGAGUCUCUUGACUGUUAGUUUCAAGAGGCUCUAAAGAAAGAUGGGCGUUUUAAGGACUUUCACUAUGUCUUGUUUAUUGGACUGAAUGAUAGAAAUAUGAAGAAACGAGACAUACUGUCAAUAUAAAAAUGUACAUUCAACAAACCAAAGCCUCGUUAUUGUGUAAAAAGAAAAAGGUUUUCCAAGAGUAUAAUUUUUGUUGCCCAGAAGCAUUUUUACAGUAAAGAAAUAGCCAUCCUCAUACAACAUUUCCUUUUUUUUAUUAUGAAUACUUCAUUACUUUUUACAUAAUGGGGACUCUUAAAGAUGAAGAACCCGACUUUAAAAAAAAAAAAAAGACUGCUUCUUUAAAAAAAAAAAAAAUCUUCAUAAUUUCAUAAAAUUCUGCAUUGAAAAUAUGAAACAUUUCAUCCACUUGAGAUGAAAUAUUUAGCCACCAUUUUAGCAGAUAGAUGCCUAGUUUGACCUUUACUCCAUGUAAUAAAUCAUUUUCACAGUCAGCAUUUGGAGUAAAAAGCUCAAACCCUAUAAAUUGAUACCAACUAUCAAGUAAUACAAAUCAAACAUUUUAACAUUUUUAAAAUAUUAGUUUCUGUUUUUUCUACUGAUCUUCUCUUCAACUGAACUCAGAACAAGGAUCCAGAAAUAAAGUUAUCAAAAUCUAAUUCAAUUAAUCGUAUUUUGUAAUAAGAAGGUUGGAUCCUUUAAAAA